AAGCCACACUCUGUGACAGAUUAUCAAAGCAGUCAGGCACAAUGUGAGCUUGCUCCAGCAAGGAAGUCUAACCUAUUCCAGCACUCUCCCUGCUGUGAGAUAGGCUGUCAUAUAGACUUAAACAGU
ensembl:snoRNA